rnacentral:rRNA from 1 species
UACGGAGGGUGCAAGCGUUAUCCGGAUUCACUGGGUUUAAAGGGUGCGUAGGCGGGUCUGUAAGUCAGCGGUGAAAUCUCCGAGCUUAACUCGGAAACUGCCAUUGAUACUAUAGGUCUUGAAUCAUCUGGAGGUGAGCGGAAUAUGUCAUGUAGCGGUGAAAUGCUUAGAUAUGACAUAGAACACCAAUUGCGAAGGCAGCUCACUACGGAUGUAUUGACACUGAGGCACGAAAGCGUGGGGAUCAAACAGG